rnacentral:rRNA from 1 species
GGUUACUGCUAUCGAGGUUCGACUAAGCCAUGCGAGUCGAAUGUAGCAAUACAUGGCGAACUGCUCAGUAACACGUGGACAACCUGCCCUUAGGUUGGGUAUAAACCCGGGAAACUGGGUAUAAUACCCGAUAGGUCUCGAUUGCUGGAAUGCAUCGAGAUUUAAAGCUCCGGCGCCUAAGGAUGGGUCUGCGGCCUAUCAGGUAGUAGUGGGUGUAGCGUACCUACUAGCCUACGACGGGUACGGGUUGUGAGAGCAAGAGCCCGGAGAUGGAUUCUGAGACACGAAUCCAGGCCCUACGGGGUGCAGCAGGCGCGAAAACUUUACAAUGCUGGCAACAGCGAUAAGGGAACCUCGAGUGCCAGGUUACAAAUCUGGCUGUCGAGAUGCCUAAAAAGCAUUUCAUAGCAAGGGCCGGGCAAGACCGGUGCCAGCCGCCGCGGUAACACCGGCGGCUCGAGUGGUAACCGUUAUUAUUGGGUCUAAAGGGUCUGUAGCCGGCCGGAUAAGUCUCUUGAGAAAUCUGGCAGCUUAACUGUCAGGCUUUCAGAGAUACUGUCUGGCUCGAGGCCGGGAGAGGUGAGAGGUACUUCAGGGGUAGGGGUGAAAUCUUGUAAUCCUUGAAAGGACCACCAGUGGCGAAAGGCGU